AGGCUCCACCUCCUCAUACAGAGACUCCCGCACCCGAGCGGUUAUGUCAUUGAUAGAGAGGAAAAGUUUGCCGCUGGAUUUGGCCAUAUGGAGCAGAUCAGCCGAGGGGAAGACAACUGAGAAGUCAUUGUCCCCAACCUGGGCCACCUGCCAGUCCCAAUCCCCGGCGACCAUAUGCUUAAGCUCUUGUUUGAGGACACGGGGCGUGAGCAGGCCCGGAUCCGCUGAGAUGAUGGCUGAAUUGUCUGGCUUCAGAUCCGCACCUUCGACCAACUCCUCGUCCUCCUCGAACUGUAGGCAAAAGAAGCCCUCCCCCGAGAUGGCACUUCCCAUGAUCUGGAGGUUCAGGGCCUUCCCCAUCGUCGGGCACGCAACCGAGACGUGGCCCUCCUCCUUACACAGCACACAAAGUGGGUCAAACUUGCACUUGGACUGGUAAUGGCCCAGGCGACCACACUUGAAGCAUUCCACAUCAGGGAUCUCUUCCACCAGAAUGGGCGCAUCGGCCGAGCCUUUGGGGCCAGCCGGCAGGGCCACCGCGAGCGGCGCAGUGCUGGCGCGAGGCUUCUUGGCCAGUGGGUCGCCAUGGUUGGGGAGCGGCGCAGAUUUCUGCUCCAACUCUCUGCGCCUGCGCCCUUCCUUCUUCAAACGCUUCCGCUCUUAUUGCUGGAUCCACCAAGGGGGAGGGGACCCCAAUCCCCCUCACUCCCUCCUUGCGCGGCCGCGGAUCCGCGUGCAUCACGCGCCUCACGGCCGUCGCGACCACCCUGCCGGCCACCCAUGGCGCUGUUGGCCUUCUCACGGAGCGCUUUCUCCCGCCGCAGCUCCGCGUCUUGCUCCCCCGCCACCAUUGGACGCUUGUCCGCUCGUCGAUCCCCCAUCACCGCCGCCGCAAAGGAAAUGGAAAGAGGAGGGGGAGGGGAAAGAAUGCGAAUGGAUCUCGCAGUGUGAGACAGGCGCCGCACCUCGCGAGUAGAUGCGGGAAACCCUAAAGACAGGUCGCUGCAUCCCUUGCGGAGCCAUAUAUAGCCCCGGCGCACACGAGGUACACGGGCUGUCCCAGGCCCACUUGGGCCCUCCCCGCAUGCCCUCGGAGGCCCACUAGAAGGGACCGGGCCAUACUGACCCCGAGACGGCACCACAGCGAGCGGCCCAGUUGAGCCCACCUGGUUCCCAGGCCCACCCGCGGAAACCCUAGGCGACGCAGACCCCGAUCCCGUCGCCCGGACGCCCUCCGCCGUGGGCGGCGCCGCCGCCGCCACCGCGCGGGAGGGAGGAGGGGGGCCAAGGCCGGCCACUCCUCCACGGCCCCAACCCCAAAGACGGGCUCGCCAGUGCUGCCGCAGUGCGCGCACGGAUAGCACCAGCCGCCACCCCCGCCGAGUCCCUGCUCUGCGGAGAGCCCGUCAGCGGGCACCAGACCUGAGACGCCACCGCACGCGAACCACCUCCACCAGGAGCGAAACACCGGCGCCGCCCUGCGUCCCCAGACGACAACCCUGCAAAAGCAACAAAAUCACUUACCUUGGGACCCGAUGGUGCCGCCAGGACGCCGCUCUCGACCACCUCAUCCUCACUGUCCGAGCACUCCGAAGCGAGCGCCCAGAACCUUCCACCACUCACGACCGGCUCCACGCGGAGAAAAGGAGCCGCCCGCCUUGCGGGUGACCGCUUGGGGGCCCGCCGGACCACCUGCCACCCCGCCGCCGGAGAGACCGCGUCGGGCCGCGCCUCGUCGCCCUCCCUGUCGCCAGAGCCACCGCGUAACGGUUCACUCAUUUCAAAUCUCUAAUAAUAUGGAAAAAUGAAAUAACACCACCCUCUCUCCGUUUCAUACAAUUGCAAUGUGCAGAAGCACUGUUCAAGAAAAAGGGAACCCAACUGCCUAUAGUUCAGGCCAGCCUCUGAUAUGUCUUUUUGCUUGAGUUAACUGGCACCGGAAUCUGGAUGUUUUUCAAAGAGUUAUCGUUGUCCAGCUCAUUCAGAGAUUGUGUUUCUACUGCAGCAAACUUCCUAUCUUCUGUACUUCCAAGCUCCAAUAUUUCUGAACUAGACAAUUAGCUGCUAAGUGUGCUGCACUUGCAAUAUUUAUUCUCAAACUAAAAUUCUACACCAAUGUCAUUUUGUGUUUUUUUUCCAAAUUAUGAUGCUAUUGUUUCAGCCAUUAAUAUUGAAAUGUGUUCCCAAAGCAUAUUUGAUAUUUAACUGUGCUUUGGUAAGGUGCCAACUGCUACUGGACAAGUUGAUACAGAGAUACUUAUCAGUGAUGGUCAACAGCAAAUAAGAGAAUUGUUUCCAUCUCGUGCCAUAUAUUUGCGUUGUAUCAGUAUCUAAACUGCUCCUUUGUGCAGGUAACAUAGGCAAAAAUUCAAGUAUCAAAGGAACCUAUGGCUUUUGGUAUUCUGUUAGGAAAAUUCUCUUUUGUAAGAAGGCCAAAUCUUUUCCCAGGAUUUUGUGACCAUGUAUAGUACUGGAUAUUGAAGUAAAGGACAACUUACCGCUUCCGGCCACCCCACACACCGCAGAUUGCCCCGACAACUCAUCCCCACGCAAGAGCCGCCCUCGGCCGCAAGCGGAACAUCCCUCAAUACCAAGCGACUCGACGAGGACACGGAGGUCCUUUCAUGGGCGCAAAUGGCGAUAUGUGGAAUGCAUUCUUGCCAAGCUAAGUUGUUAUCUACAUCAAUGAAAAGUUCUUUGCGACGGUGCACAAGCGACACUGCUGCAGCGCUGCAUCCUCCUGUUGGACAAGCGACGUGGAGAGCUACUUCGAAUUGCAUGGAGAUGAACAAAAGGGACCAGUGAGAAAAGAUGAAGACAAGUGUUUCAGUUCAGCGAAAAAAGAUCAUAUAUGCUGGCUCGUUUUUCUUGUUCUCAUUUUGGCUCUGUAAACAAAGCUGGAUAUGUAUUAGGAUCUACCUGGUGGUGAGAGAACUUCUGCUUUCCUUCAUGUUGGCUGUAGGAGGUAGUUAGGCCUUUCUCUGAUGUGUGGUCGUCUGAACUGGAUGUACUGGCCGUUUUCUGCUUCAUUAUAUAAAAUGGGGCAGGGGGGAAACCCCUUUCUUUUUUAAAAAAAAG